rnacentral:rRNA from 1 species
CUACGGGUCGCAGCAGUGGGGAAUAUUGCACAAUGGGCGCAAGCCUGAUGCAGCCAUGCCGCGUGUAUGAAGAAGGCCUUCGGGUUGUAAAGUACUUUCAGCGGGGAGGAAGGGAGUAAAGUUAAUACCUUUGCUCAUUGACGUUACCCGCAGAAGAAGCACCGGCUAACUCCGUGCCAGCAGCCGCGGUAAUACGGAGGGUGCAAACGUUGUUCGGAAUUACUGGGCGUAAAGCGCACGCAGGCGGUUUGUUAAGUCAGAUGUGAAAUCCCCGGGCUCAACCUGGGAACUGCAUCUGAUACUGGCAAGCUUGAGGCUCGUAGAGGGGGGUAGAAUUCCAGGUGUAGCGGUGAAAUGCGUAGAGAUCUGGAGGAAUACCGGUGGCGAAGGCGGCCCCCUGGACGAAGACUGACGCUCAGGUGCGAAAGCGUGGGGAGCAAACAGGAUUAGAUACCCCGGUAGUC